rnacentral:rRNA from 1 species
UCUCAAAGAUUAAGCCAUGCAUGUCUAAGUAUAAGCAAUUAUACAGCGAAACUGCGAAUGGCUCAUUAUAUAAGUUAUCGUUUAUUUGAUAGUGCCUUACUACUUGGAUAACCGUGGUAAUUCUAGAGCUAAUACAUGCUGAAAAUCCCGACUUCCGAAGGGAUGUGUUUAUUAGAUUAAAAACCAAUGCCCUCUGGGCUCCUUGGUGAUUCAUGAUAACUGUUCGAAUCGCAUGGCCUUGCGCCGGCGAUGGUUCAUUCAAAUUUCUUCCCUAUCAACUUUCGAUGUUUGGGUAUUGGCCAAACAUGGUCGCAACGGGUAACGGAGGGUUAGGGCUCGACCCCGGAGAAGGAGCCUGAGAAACGGCUACUACAUCCAAGGAAGGCAGCAGGCGCGCAAAUUACCCAAUCCCGAUCCGGGGAGGUAGUGACAAUAAAUACUGAUACAGGGCUCUUUUGGGUCUUGUAAUUGGAAUGAGUACAAUUUAAAUCCCUUAACGAGGAACAAUUGGAGGGCAAGUCUGGUGCCAGCAGCCGCGGUAAUUCCAGCUCCAAUAGCGUAUAUUAAAGUUGUUGUGGUUAAAAAGCUCGUAGUUGAACCUUGGGCCUGGCUGGCCGGUCCGCCUCACCGCGUGCACUGGUCCGGCCGGGCCUUUCCCUCUGCGGAACCCCAUGCCCUUCACUGGGUGUGGCGGGGAAGCAGGACUUUUACUUUGAAAAAAUUAGAGUGCUUCAGGCAGGCCUAUGCUCGAAUACAUUAGCAUGGAAUAAUGAAAUAGGACGCGCGGUUCUAUUUUGUUGGUUUUCUGGGGACCGCCGUAAUGGUUAAUAAGGAUG